AAAGUAGAUUAGAAAACGAGAGUUACAUAUUUAGUCACUUAAAGGAGACUACACUUUCUUGGGUCACCUAGGCAAACACACUUCCAGUUACUUUUUUCAAACAUGUUUUUCUUAUUUCCAUACUUAAUUAACCUAGGAAAUAAGGCAGGCAUUAUUCUUCCCAUUUUGCAUGAGUUCACUGAGAACUGGAAAGUUAAGUCACUUGUCCAAAGUAACAAGCAUGGUCCUGGAAAAACAAGGAGUGAAAGCUGCAGUUUCUAACUUUUGGUCUGUGCCUUUGCGUUUGGAGAACGAAAUGGCAACCCACUCCAGUAUCUGUGCCUGGAAAAUCCCGUGGACAGAGGAGCCUGGACCAAUUGUGAUGGGCAAUGAAAAGUGGAUAUAGUACAAUAAUGUGAAAUGGAAGAGAUCACGGGGCAAGUGAAAGGAUCCAUCACCAACCACACCAAAGACUGGUCUUUAUCCAAAGAAGAUGAUGUGUAUACCAUGAAGUUGGAAGGGAGUCCUCUAUGAUGAGCUCCUUCUGGAAAGUCAAAUGAUUAAUUCCAACAAGUACUGCUCCCAGUUAGACAAACUGAAAGCACUCGAUGAAAAGCAUCCAGAAUUAGUCAACAGAAAACUCACAAUCUUCCAUCAGGAUAACAUAAGACUACAUGUUUCUUUGAUGACCAGGCAAAAGCUUUUACAGCUUGGCUGUGAAUUUCUAACUCUUCUGCCAUAUUCACCAGACGUUGCGCCUUCAGAUUUCCAUUUAUUCUGGCCUUUACAAAACUCUCUUAGUGGAAAAAAUUUCAAUUCCUUGGAAGACUGGAACAGGUAUCUUCCAAAAGAUACCUGGAAUAAUUCGUUGCUCAAAAAUGAUAAAAAAAGUUUUGGGAAGAUGGAAUUAUGAAGUUGCCUGAAAAAUGGCAGACAUGGAACAAAACAAUAAAGAAGUUGUUCUAUAAA